rnacentral:rRNA from 1 species
AUUGAACGCUGUCGGCAGGCCUAACACAUGCAAGUCGAACGAGUGGCGGACGGGUGAGUAAUGUCUGGGAAACUGCCUGAUGGAGGGGGAUAACUACUGGAAACGGUAGCUAAUACCGCAUACCAUCAGAUGUGCCCAGGGGGGAUUAGCUGGUUGGUGGGGUAACGGCUCACCAAGGCGACGAUCCCUGGCUGGUCUGAGAGGAUGACCAGCCAAACUGGAACUAGGACACGGUCCAGACUCCUACGUGAGGCAGCAGUGGGAAGUAUUGCACAAUGGGCGCAAGCCUGAUGCAGCCAUGCCGCGUGUAUGAAGAAGGCCUUCGGGUAGUAAAGUACUUUCAGCGGGGAGGCGUUACCCGCAGAAGAAGCACCGGCUAACUCCGUGCCAGCCGCCGCGGUAAUAC